rnacentral:rRNA from 1 species
GACGAACGCUGGCGGCGUGCCUAAUACAUGCAAGUAGGACGCAGUUGCGAACGGGUGAGUAACGCGUAUGUAACUACCUAUUAGUGGGGGAUAACUAUUGGAACCGAUAGCUAAUACCGCCUACUAGUCGAUUGACCUGCGUUGUAUUAGCUAGUAGGUAGGGUAAUGGGCUACCUAGGCAACGAUACAUAGCCGACCGGAGAGGGUGGUCGUGCACACUUGGACUGAGACACGGCCCAGACUCCUACGGGAGGCAGCAGUAGGGAAUCAUCGGAAAUGGGGGGAACCCUGACCGAGGAACGCCGCGUGAGUGAAGAAGGUUUUCGGAUCGUAAAGCUCUGUUGUUAAGGAAGCGGUACUUAACCAGAAAGGGACGGCUAACUACGUGCCAGCAGCCGCGGUAAUAC